UGAUGUUAUAGCCUCCAGAGCUGCUGCAAAGGAAGGCAAGCCAUUGGACGUGGAGGUAAAUGAACUUGAAGAUCUUCAUAGCCGUUCUCAUGAAGUUGACGCCUCCGGAAAAUGGAAUCCUCUAGGAUUUGUUAAACUUACCGGUGCUGCUGCUGCAAAGGAAGGCAAGCCAUUGGCUAUACCUUCAUGACCUU